GAGUUUGAUCGUGGCUCAGAACGAACGCUGGCGGCAGGCUUAACACAUGCAAGUCGAACGCCCCGCAAGGGGAGUGGCAGACGGGUGAGUAACACGUGGGAACGUGCCCUAAGGUUUGGAAUAUUCCCGGGAAACUGGGAGCAAUACCAAAUGUGUCCGCAAGGAGAAAGAUUUAUCGCCUUAGGAUCGGCCCGCGUCAGAUUAGGUAGUUGGUGGGGUAAUGGCCUACCAAGCCGACGAUCUGUAGCUGGUCUGAGAGGACGACCAGCCACACUGGGACUGAGACACGGCCCAGACUCCUACGGGAGGCAGCAGUGGGGAAUCUUGGACAAUGGGCGCAAGCCUGAUCCAGCCAUGCCGCGUGGAUGAUGAAGGCCCUAGGGUUGUAAAAUCCUUUCGUUGGGGUACGAUAAUGACGGUACCCAAAGAAGAAGCUCCGGCUAACUUCGUGCCAGCCGCCGCCGU
rnacentral:rRNA from 1 species